AGCUCUGUAAGCGUAUACCAAAGUUGUUGCAGUUAAAACGCUCGUAGUCGGACUUUGGCAGUUCCGGGAGUGUGCGCGUCGUGCGCAUACUUUGCGGGGACUGCUUUUGUGGUAUUGCGUGGGAUGAAGCAUUUUAAUUAAUGAACGUCCCUCCGCAACCACUUUUUACUGUGAGAAAAUCAAAGUGCUCAAAGCAGGCAUUUGCCGUGAAUGUAUUAGCAUGGAAUAAUAGAAUAGGACUUGGUUCUAUUUUGUUGGUUUGUUGGGACUGAGUAAUGAUUAAGAGGGACAGUUGGGGGCAUUUGUAUUUCGGCGCUAGAGGUGAAAUUCUUAGAUUGCCGAAAGACAAACUGCUGCGAAAGCGUCUGCCAAGGAUGUUUUCAUUGAUCAAGAACGAAAG
rnacentral:rRNA from 1 species